rnacentral:rRNA from 1 species
GACGAACGCUGGCGGCGUGCCUAAUACAUGCAAGUAGAACGCUGAAGGAGGAGCUUGCUCUUCUGGAUGAGUUGCGAACGGGUGAGUAACGCGUAGGUAACCUGCCUGGUAGCGGGGGAUAACUAUUGGAAACGAUAGCUAAUACCGCAUAACAGUAGAUGUUGCAUGACAUUUACUUAAAAGGUGCAAUUGCAUCACUACCAGAUGGACCUGCGUUGUAUUAGCUAGUUGGUGGGGUAACGGCUCACCAAGGCGACGAUACAUAGCCGACCUGAGAGGGGGGACGGCCACAAUGGGAACGGGAAAACGCCCAGAAUUCUACGGGAGGGAGCAGGAGGGAAACUUCGGGAAUUGACGGAAGGCUGAACGAGCAAAGGCGGGUGAGGGAAGGAGGGUCUCGGAUCGGAAAGCUCCGUUGUAAGAGAAGAACGAGUGUGAGAGUGGAAAGUUCACACUGUGACGGUAUCUUACCAGAAAGGGACGGCUAACUACGUG